UUCAAAAUUCAUAAUAUAAACGUUGAAUAAAUCUCCCCUUCUUCAUCCCUACAUACAUUCAAAUAUUACAAAAACAAAUCAUAAACCCUUCAAUUAAAUCAUUUCAUAAUUUCAAUUCCAAAAUUUUGAGCAAAUCUAGAAUCAUCAACCAAAAAAGAGAAAGAAAUUAAAUUGUGAGCAAAAAUAAAGAAAAAUGGUGAAGGAAAUAAGAUACAUGCAAGAAACUGCACCAGCCAUGCUCAUAUCAAGACAUAGAUGUUCAAGUUGUCCUAAAUUGGAAACAAUUGUUGAAGAGGGAUCUGAAAAAUUUACAAGAAGAUUUGAAAUUCUACCAAAAAGGAGUAGCAAUGGGGAUUUACGAAGACUGCGCGAUUUCUAAUAUUAUAUGCCCGCAUUCUCGAGAAAUUGUUAGUGAACAAAGUUCAUCGUGUAGAAUUAUGAACCAUCUAUUCAUAAUAUGAUGUGUGACUCACGAAGAUUGCGCGAUUUCUAAUAUUGUCUGUCCGUAUUCUCGAGAAAUUGUUUGGUCAGCAAAGUUCAUUGUAUAUUAUUAUGAACCAUUUAUUGAUAGGAUUGAUUAAUAUUGUAGCAAUUUGAAAAUGAGGAAAGGCGAUGACAAAUUUGAUUAA